CAGCUGGGAGUUGGUGGAGGCAGGGCAGUGGCCUGCUACUAUUGCUGCAGUAGCAGACCCUUUCACAACAGCAUUGUUUUGUCAUUUUGCAUCCAGAUUUCCGUUGGCUAACCUCAGUCUUAUCUUCCUCAUUUCUGUUUCCUGUUGAAGACACCAAGGGCCCUUCAAAACACAGAAGCUUCUUGCUCACGGCAGAAAGCCCAAUUCCAUCUGGCCCCUGCAGGUUGGCUCAGCACUGGGGAAUCAGAGUCCCCUCCAUGACCAAGGCACCACUCCACUGACAGGUAUGGUAUCCAUUUGCCCUCUCUUCUUGGAUUCUCAAGCUGGGGCAGAGUCCAUGGCAGCCAAGGGUGGCUUGGAUCUGCCCAUCCCAUUCUCUUCAGACCCUCCUCAGGGAUUAAGGUCAAAGGUGGGAGGAAGAAGGCUUCCAUUGGCCUUUUAUCCUAGAGGUUCUAAUGGAGGGGAAAAGGGGAUAGGAUAUUUUCUAUCCAAUCAGGAUGUUUAGGAGAUAGUCACAUGGAAGUGGAAUGGCCUUUGGACCCAGGAGUCAGGAAACCUGAGUAGCAGUCCUGGUUUUACCAUUUACCCAAUGUGUAUCUUUGGGUAAGUCCUUUCUCCAAUCUAGGACACAGUUUUUUCACCCCUUUUGCAAAAUAAAAAAGUAAAAAGAGGAAAAGAAUGAUUAGAUAGAUGCUGUCUAGAGACCCAUGGUUAUUAGAUUCCUAAUUUUCAUGAUUGUCAGCCCUCUGUCAAGAAAGAAGAUGAGAGUAAUCUUUGCAUAUGUAACUGUGGGUGGGGCUGAACACAUUCAAGAGGAGAGUGCUGGUGGUAAUCCAUAUAGCACUCUCUGAGAGGCAUGACUCAAAGAUGAAAGCCUCUUUUCUAGUCCAAUCUUUGACUCCUAGAGAUUCAAAAUUGAAAGACUCUUAGAGACUAGGUACAUAUGGAAGAAACUGAGGUCCAGAAAGAGGAAGAAAGGGACUUGCCCAAAGUCAUACAGAGAAUCUGUAGCACAGCUGGGUCUGGGCUCCCAGGUCAGUCCUCUUUUUGCUCUAUCCUAGGAGGACUGAGACAUCAAGCAGCAGGACCUGUCCUGUAACUGACCCAGGACAGGUCCUGCUCAUACUAGAGGCAGUCUGGGAUUUUUAGGCAUGGUCCUGAGGACUUCUUCUUUUCUUCUAUUUUUCUUUCAGGUACUUGGCUCACUCUGAGUGUUCAGAGAUUCCUAGACACCUACUUACCCCUAAUUCUUCUGGUCUAUUCCCUCCAAUUCCCUCCAUAAAAACUGACCCAUCCUUUGCAUCAACAAUAGUGGCUUGAUGACGCUCUUCAGUAGAGGAUUUUGCAUUUCAUAUGGGGAAAAAUGAUGUUAUUCUAAGUAAUAUAACAGACCAAGAGAAGAGCUUUCAAAUUCCCUUAAUAUCAUCCCAUAUAGAUAUUUAUGUCUUCUUUCUAUGGGUCUGGUGAACAUUUCUCAACUGAAUGUGAUUUUCUUACAUACACUCCAUUGGAGAGGCAUACCAGUCUAGUUUCAGCUCAACCACUAACUCCUUCCAUUAAUACUGAAGCAAUGUUGUCUAUAAGGCUCCACAAAUUUCAAAGUACUAAUAAUUUUUAGCCCCUUUCAUGCCUCCUUUCCAGCCUUUCUGGAGGUGAAUAAAGUCAGAAAGUGCAUUCAAAAGGCUGUGAACACCUCCAGCUUAUCUAGGUCUUCUUACUGGAGCUGACAGCCAAUGAGUGUAAUGAUACAAAAAAGGUAACAAUCCAUUUCUUUUUCUCCUGCCAUCCCCAACUCAGACUCUGUUAAUCAGCUUGCUUGGCUGGCCUCCAACCAUAGGUCCAGGGGCUGAGACAAGGUCCUUUUGAGCUCCUAUGUGGGAGGCUCUGGAAAGCUUAGCAACACUUUCCAACAACUUUGCCAGGGUCACAUCUCCCAGGAAGAUCUCACUUCCCCACAGAAGCUCUUGGCCUGGCCUCCUGCAGUGCCACGCUCCGUGUAUUUGACAAGCUGAGUUGGACACUCCAUGUGGUAGAGUGUCAGUUUGUCAAAUACCCCAAGUGCGGCACAUGCUUACCAGCUCUAGGCCAGGGCAGAUGGGAUAUGACGAAUGGACUGCCAGCUGGAUACAAGGAUGCUCACCAAGCACCAAGUUCUCACAAGUUAUUUUAUGUGACUUUGCAGGAACUGAGGCAUUAUAUCUGAGGACACCAGGGGAAAAGUGUGGCAUCUCAGGGAAAUACAGCCCUGGGCUGUGUCUACACACACCAUGAGAGUGCUGAUGGGGGCGCAAUAGUCUUGAAAAUGUAUAAAGUGUCCAGGAAUGGAAGUGCUCUUUGAUUCAUUAUUAUUUUCUUCCUUCAUAUUCCCCUCCCAGAGUCUCCUAUCUAGGACAUCAGCAUUCUCACACAAGCCUAAUGGCUUAUCUGAGUAAGCAGGGCUUAGAAAUUCACUUUCUUGAUACUCAGUCUUGCCUUCUAAACACUCCUUGAUCUUGCCUACCUCUCCCCUUUUCCACAUGUCUUUUCCUGUAGGAACACUUUCUCCAUUUAUUCCUGCCUAUCCAAUUCUUCCCUAUAUUUCCUGGACCAGCUAAAGUCCAGUGUUUCCAGAGACUUUUGAAAGUCAACUUACACUUUUUCCUUCUUCAUUCACAAAGCUCUUCUUCCCUGGGCCCUGGUAUGUAUGCCUUUCUCUCCUACUGUCUAAUAGCACCUCGUAAAUUGUCAAUGAACUUUUCUAAGGGGUAUUCUUGAAUUCCCAACUAGAUUGUGAGCUUCUGGAAGACAAGGCUAUGUCUUUGAUUGUUGUCUCCCCUACCACAGCCCAGUACUUUAGUUACAGAAAAUAAUAAAUAUUUACUGAUUGAUUGACUUUCCUCUUGUCCACUAGCUUUAGGUUUGGGGGCCAAAUUCUACCCUGGAUUUUGAAAAAUUCAAACUGUGAACACCACAAUGUUAUAGAGCAUAUGAGGUAGUAGCCAGCAUGAAGGAUGUUUUCUUCCUGAGAAACAGUGUCAAGGGCUGGAGGAAGAGGGCAAAAUAGCAGACUCAGAGGGCAAAUAAAUUUUGGUAUUACUUGGUCACACAAGGUUAUACAGGUGUUUUCUUGUAGGAUUUUUCAGAGCCUUUAAUAGUCUAAUGUUGCAUUGAGAAUCUCAAAGAGGAAACCAUAGAAUGAGGCAUUUGCCAUACCUAUCUGAUCAUGAAUUUUCUUUUCCCCCACAGCCUUCUCCUGUGUCAAUGUCCAAUGAAGCACGAUUUGGGAAACUGUCCUAGAGAAACUUUAUACCUUCCCGCUCUUCUGGAGAUCUUUUCCUCUUUUCAUUCAUCUACUUUCCCCAACCAGCCAUCUGCCUAAGAAAGGUCACAUGUUAUCAUCUCAUUUUUGUUUAGCCUCUGCAGCUGUGGACUAUCUUUAUUACAUAGGAAUUCUUUACUAGCUUGUCCUGUAUUUAAAAAUAUUCUAAGUUUUGAGGCAAAGAAGAUCCAGAUGCUGCAAUAAAUAUAUGCACUGAGGAGUUCACAGGCCUGACUUUUGGUCUCCUUUCUACCACUAACUGUGUUUUUGUUCCUCUCUGAGCUUCAUUUUCUCAUCUCCAAUACGGAAGUAUUAGAAUCAGUGAUCUCUAGGCUCUUUAAGAUUAAUGACUUUGAGAUAUCCCUGGGAGUCCUUAGCUCUUAUGGAGCAGCGUCCCUGGAUGUGUGGCUCCUUUUACCAGUGAAAAUGCAACCAGGAUUCUCUUCCCAACACCUAAAACUCACUUUUUCUAUGGGUAGUAGGGAAAGAUAAUGGGUAUUUUCAAAGGCUGUAGGGUCUGGACGCAGAGUUGUUUCAUGAAGGAAGUUGGGGUUUCCACUGGGUGGAGGCCCUAUUUCAGAGGCUUGUAAGCACGAUGGGGAAGAAAGAGUUGUUCCUUUCGCCAACUAGGAGAAGCUAGCGUCUGGAAUGAGGAAAAUGUUGAGGUUUUUACCCUGGAUUUGGCAUGUUGGGUGGCGGUGAAGUGGAGGACUCCUUUUUGUUACUUUCGUGUACUAUUUUGACUUCUGUAAUCAUUGCAAAAGGGGAGCAGCUCCUUGUGAAACAUGAGCUGACCUAGGGGCUGCAUGGGAACCAGAAAUAGCAACAUGGCAGCUUCCUUGAAGAGUGCAGAAGUUGAUUUGACAUUAAUUACAUCGAGAAAAUAAAACUGUGUCAACCUGGGUCAGAACAGGUCCUCACAGCGGAGCCUGAUUUAAAGGUGUAGGAACUUAUGUACACAUACAAACUCUCUCUCUCUCUCUCUGUCGUGCGCACACACACACACACACACACACACACACUCCUAGCCCUAUUCCUCCUUGAAGAGAAAGGCUUUCUUGCUCUUAUCCCCACCUCACAUUGUAAGAAGGGGCCAGGAGCUAAAGAAGAUAACAUAUGAAAAAUGCAACUACCCCCAGGAUUUUAAGAUUCAAAGAAGUGGAAAUCCUUGGGAGUGGUGCAUCCAUACUUGGGAAAGAAGGAAAUCCCUUCAUCUCUGCAUUCAUAGUCCCCUGAGACAGAAAGACUUUUUCUUUCUUAGGCUUCCAGUUGAUGUGGGAAGAAUCAUCCAGGUGGACCUGGCAGGAUGACAGGUUGGGUAAUGGAAGCCAGGGGAGUACUGUUUAAUCAAGUAUUCACUGUUCUCCAGCUGGGCUUACCAGUGGAGUGAAGUAGGAGUGGCAUGUGUGGGAAGGGGAAAGACCAAAAAAGCAAAAGUGACAUCCAUAUUCUCGGGCCCCAGCCAUCUUAACUAGUCUCACUUUAAUUACUUUUAGUAGGUCCUACCAUACUGUGAGAGAAGACCAACACAACUGAAGUUGCUGUUAUGAUUAGAUAUUUAUUGAGCACCAG
rnacentral:lncRNA from 1 species